AAGUUUCUAUAUCUCCUAAGAUAUUGAAGAUAGUCCUACAGUAUAAAAACAUUAUUCAUAGGAAAUUUCCUAAGCUGCAAUUUCGGAUUCUUAUAAAUUUCUGAAAGAUUUAUAUUUUAGGAGUUACCGUCAUUUUUGCAUUUAUAUUUUUAUAUUACGUAUUCCCUAUACUAAAUUUUAUUCGUUCACUACUUAGUUGCAGCUGCACGGCUUAUCUCAUUUUGAUAAGCUCCGAUUUCUUCCACAGCGUCUCAACUCCUCAGUUGCCCCAUGGAUGCUAAAUGGUAAUUGCCUUUAUGUUCUCAGUUUUUCUUAUUCCUAAAUUCCUUUGUUUCUCAGUUUUUUUCUUGACUUUAUGUCAAAAUCUUGUGAAACUGACGUGUUUAUUAUUUUUUUUUUUUUAUCUUGUGAAAAAAAAAUUGUGGAAACAGUCGUAUAAUUGUGCUAGACGUGUUUAAGUGGAGUUGACAAUUCUGACGUGUGAUUUGUGUAAAGGUGUGAUAUUUAACGUACAUUAUUUUUAUGAAAAAAAAAUUUUUUUUUUGAAAAUUUUCAAAAUCACGCCAUUAAUUAUUGAAGGUAAUUAAAUGAAGUUUAAGAUAAAUUUGAUAUCUUUUAUCCAUCUUUUACGUCUGGAAAAUUAUUUUCAUAAAAUAUACGAAAUUCGAAAAAAUUUUUUUUUGAAAUGGAAAAAAUUUUCAAACACCCCCAAUUCGCAACCUAACCGGCCGAUUUUGCUCAUAUUCGAACUAAUGAAACAUAUUAUGACAAAAUUUUCUCAAAAUUUCAACAUAAGACCGGCUACAAUAGAUAGAUUCCCACGUAAAUCUACCUAUAUUCUCGACGACUGGUUCGUGGUUUUCUGCCGUUUUCGUUGUUCCUGUCGUUGAUGCUCCGUUGCCGUCACUGGUUGAUUGCUCUGAUGUGGCUCGAUUGCUGGUUCUCGUUACUGCGGCUGUCACUAUUUCUUGGAUGUUGUUGCCGUACCCGUCGCUUGCAUCUGAUAUUGUUGCUCCUGUUUUUAAUUUACUGUGAUCUAUGGUGAAUUAUUUUGCUGAGUGAUUGUUUCCCGUCCUGCUUGGUGAUGUCUCUGCUGUUGGUGGUGUCAUUAUUGAUCUAAGUGAUUUGCAUCCUUAGACGGUUUUAUUUCCUCACUUGGCUGGAUGGUGUCUCGAUGUUGCCGUUUUCCUGAUUUUCUUCGUACCCGCUGCUGCUGC
rnacentral:lncRNA from 1 species